UGGGGAAUCUUGGACAAUGGGGGCAACCCUGAUCCAGCCAUGCCGCGUGGACGAUGAAGGCCUUAGGGUUGUAAAGUCCUUUCGCCGGGGAAGAUAAUGACGGUACCCGGUAAAGAAGCCCCGGCUAACUCCGUGCCAGCAGCCGCGGUAAUACGGAGGGGGCUAGCGUUGUUCGGAAUUACUGGGCGUAAAGCGCACGUAGGCGGACGCUUAAGUCAGGGGUGAAAUCCCGGGGCUCAACCCCGGAACUGCCUUUGAUACUGGGUGUCUGGAGGUCGAGAGAGGUGAGUGGAAUUCCGAGUGUAGAGGUGAAAUUCGUAGAUAUUCGGAGGAACACCAGUGGCGAAGGCGGCUCACUGGCUCGAUACUGACGCUGAGGUGCGAAAGCGUGGGGAGCAAACAGGAUUAGAUACCCCCGUAGUCC
rnacentral:rRNA from 1 species